UUAAACUUCAUGGAAAGAUUCGCUUUGUUCAGGAUUAUAACCAGGAGAAAGUAAUUUCUAGGGGAUCAAAGAUGUACACCGAGGAUCUUGAAGGUGGAUUCAUCUCAGAUGUUGAAUCCAAGUGCAAGAAGAUAUAUGAGGAUGAUAUUAAUCCCUUUGCAGCUUUCUCCAAAAAGGAGAGGGAUCAAAUAUACAAGGAGUUGGGCUUCAGAGAGAGAAUCACACUAAGCAGCGGACGUUUUCUUCUAUGAAACAAGUAUAAUUUUGUUUCAUCGAUACAUCAUAUUCUUUAUUGGAAUGAUCUCUUGCUCCCUUUCUUGCAUG